ensembl:lncRNA
ACUAAAUAGAAAUCGGUAAAACAAAGCCAAGACUCCAUUCAUAGCAGGCGGGCAGAGGUGUGGAAGGAGGAUGGAGUGAGGCGCAGCAUCCCAGGAGUGGCACUGCGGUGCUUCGAUGUGCACACACUGCCGUGUGCAGCCACAGCCCGGAGAGCAGCACCCACUGCUCCUCUGUGCCAGCGUGCAGAGCCGGCUCUGGAGCUGCUGCACCGCACAGCCAGAACUGACGCGGUGCCUCUGUGCACACAGCUGUCCGCAGGGCCUGGACCUGAGGGUCCCACGGCACUGUCAGACGGUGUGGGCUGAACGUGGUUCCUCACGGCCAUCCUCAGAGGCGGUGUUUAGAACAGUGCCCGUGUUUUUGCUGUGCUCUGAAAAUCAGGAAAAAUCUCUGGGUAUGGAAGGCGUUAAAUCAUUACAUCCUUUGUUGUCUCGUCCCCUUUGUUCAUCCAGGUCCAGCUCCCUGCGCACCCAACAGCUCUGGGCAGUGCUUUAGGACAUCUGUCCAGGUAUGCAGAACAUUUCAGAGCUUAGAAGUCCCCUGCACUUUAACUUCCGUUCCAUGGCAGCUCUGUCCUUGCUGUACCUGCCACAGCACUGAGGGAAUGUUGCCUCUGAGCCACCGCUAGGUGUGAUUUCAGUUAAAUCUCAGUAUUUAUUGCCCAUGCUAAUAAUGGAAUGUCCUGAGAACACCGUCUGGUUGUAACCAACUCACUGGCACCAGCGCAGCACCUUUCUCAGCAGCUGCCUUCCCACCACUGACCAUCGGCACUCUGUGCCUUUCCCAGCGCUGCCUGCCGGCUCUGCCGGCUCCGUUCUCUCCAAAACCUGUCUGCUUUGCAGCAAAAAUUUUCCAUGCUGCGCCUUUGCCUGAAGAUGCACUUAAUUCAAAUGUUUGAUUAACCUCCUUUCAACCAUUUCCGAGUUACGGAAUGAGUGGAAAAAUACUCACAUGUAAGAACUGACUGGUGUUAAAAAUAACUCAAACCGCAGGAAAAAUAGCUGCAUUUUUUCAGCUUAACUGGGCUUCGUCCCCACAGGGCCCCACGCUUCCCCCAGAAACAAACACAAAUACAGCAACAUUUGGGUGUGCUCAGAUAGUGAAGCCGAGGCCUGGAAGGGGAUGGAGAGAAAAGAGGAAACUGGAAGGGGAAGAGGAAGGGGAAGGGAAAAAGGAAGGGGAAAGGAAAGGAAGGACUCCCACUUUUUCUCAGCCUCUUUCCCAUUUUUUUGGCUCCACUUCAUUGCUUGCCUUUUCAUCUGUUUUGCACCUUUCCACCCUUUCUCGGUCUCCACUUUCAAGCUGGUGAAAAAGGGUGGGGCCAAACUGAAAAGUGGAGGGUGGAAGGCCACAGAACUGCAGACACCACAAAAGGGGCGAGCGGGCGGCGAGAGGCUGGAAGUCAGGAAAAGAAAGGAGGAUGAACGCGUGGGAGGUCCGAGGCCAGGAGAGGGCUGGGAAGAGGGUAUCGGCUCCAAUCACAUCUGGGUACCGUCUGGGGCAUACUGUGUGUGUUUGGCUGCUGAGGAAUAUCAACAAAUACGAAUUAUCAGCAGCGUGGCCAGAGUCUGCAGGGGAGAAAUAACGAACAGGGAAGGUUUGCAUGGCUUUGCAUUCUGCAAUGAAAAUGAUCUCAUUAUCCUUUCCGGAGACUCAGACAGCUACUUGAAAAAUACUUAGGAAAAAAACACAGCAGCUCUGGGGAGAGAGCCCUUCCCAAGCAGGGAGGGAAAACAGAGCAGAAGGAAACAGCGUCAGUGGCAGACAUAGGUGGGAGGCUGCCCUGCUGCAUGCCCAGCACCUGCUGGGAGUCAUCACCAAUGUGGGAGCAGGCAGAAGCACUGAGAGGCAUAGGAGUGGUGAGAGGAGGUGCGGGUCAGCCCCAGCCCUGCACAGCUGGAGGUGUUCACCAGCCCAGCCCAGAGCUCCCUGGCAGCACUCAUGUCCCGGCAGUGCCUCUCUGAGCUGUAUGCUAUCACAGCAACCACCUCCACCACUGUUACUGCAUUGUGCUUCCAUCUGCCUGUAGGCAGAGAACACACAUAGCCGCACAGGAGCUGCCACGUGUUUCUGUAAGAACUGUGUGCUGGAAAUAAGCAGAAUGCAGAAAUACUGCAGGAAGAGAAAGGAGCAAAGAAAACGCAGCACUGCUUAAGUCUGGACACAGAAUGUGAUGCUUAGGUUCUCCCUUCAGCUGUAAACCACAGGGAGAGGGAUGAUGCUCCCUCAGGGAGCUACUUCAGUGUCAGCUUUGGGGAUUUCCUCCUGCAUCAGCAGCAAUAGCAACGAAGCAAAAGAUAAGGGGAAAAGGUAACUGAGGGGAGACAGAAACUGGAGGGGGACUGCAUAAGUUGGAAAGACUCCUGCGGUGGGGACCAGAGGGAGAACCUCAAACAUAAAAGGGGGGAGGCAGGUGCAGGACUGUAAAAAGAGCCAUUGAGGGAUCCUUGUGCCUUUCUUUAUGGUUAAGCUUCACUCUGACCCUGUAGCAAAAAUGCUGAGUCAUGGCCUUGAUUGAGCACCUGGUGGGAAGGCAGGGCCAGCCCAGGGGAGCUCAGGUGCAUGCAGUGUACCUGAGUGAUGGAAGGGGUGGAGCCAGGAUCCUCCCCUGCCCAGACCUCAUUUAAGGGUUGGCAGUGGAGGUGAGGGUAUGUUUCUCCUGGUCCCUCCCUACCUGUAUUCUUCCAGAGGUAAGCAAACUGUCUUUCUUUGUGCGUGUGGCUGCUGCAUUUGGGCUUACCCUCACUUGCAGCAGUCUAGGAUUGUGCCGCUCUGAUGUUCCUCUAUACCCCACCUAGUGCAGCUGGUGAGGUCUUUGUAUCAACUCACAAAGAAAGGCCAAAAAUGGGACUGGGGGAGAAUGGAACAAGAGGCAUUCCAACAAGUGAAACUAAAUGUUAAACAGGCCCAGGCUCUGGGUACAUUUGAUCCUCUCCCCCUCCCCGCCCCUUCCAGCUGACCUAGGGGUCCAUGUAACUCAGGAUAGGUUUGGCUGGGGUCUAUGGCAGCGCCAAAAUUCUGUUUGAUCCUCAGUUUGGUUCUGGUCUCAGGUUUGGUGUGGAGCAGAAGAGAGGUACUGUAUGAUUGAAAAACAGUUACUGGCUGCCUACUCUGCAUUACAGGCUGUAGAGCCAAUAACCCAAACAUCUGGGGCUUAGACUUUGGGUUCGGCUGUGGUUAGACAUAUGGGAUGUGGUUAAACACAGGACUGUACAUGUCUACCACAUUUCUGGUCACCAACCCCUACAGUCACUGGGAAAUGACGAAGCUGACACACUGGCCCGUUUGAUGGAUCGAGAAUUCACCAUCUGAGAACAUCGCCUGCUGGUUACAUCAGAAGCUGCGGCAUGCUGGACAAAAGACAGUGUGGGCAGCUGCUCAAGUAUGGGGUCUGCCCAUACAGCUAUCUGACAUCGCCCAGGCAUGCUGAGAAUGCGAUGCUUGCUCCAGGAGGAGACCAAGACGGUUGCCCGAAACAACAGCCCGUUUUGCUAGAGGACACAGUCCUCUCCAGCGAGGGCAGGUUGAUUACGUUGGGUCCCUUCCUCAGUCUGAGGGGGUGAGACAUGCCCUGACCUGUGUCAGUACUGCAAGUGGGCUCCUGUAGGCCUGUCCAGUACCAAAAGCAAACCAGGCAUAUACCAUCAAGGUACUUACCAAACUGAUGGCUGCCUACGGGACACCUGAAGUCAUCGAGAGCGACCAUGGGACUCGUUGCACUGGCACAAUGGUAAAAUGCUGCACAGAAGAAAACAACAUUGAGUGGCAAUUCCACCCGCCAUAUAAUGUGACGGGGGCAGGCCUUAUUGAAUGUUAUAACAGUAUUCGUAAGGCUGCCCUGAGGACAGACUCUCAGUCCCUGCAGGGGUGGACAAAGAGAAACCCUACAGGACCUGAAUGAAGGGCCUAAUGAUGGCAGACCCAGUGCCCUGAAGAUGCUACAGACAAUGUGGGUGUCCUUGCUUAGGACCCAAAUUAUGAGCACUGAUAAUGGUUAAGACCCCAGACUGAAUAAAAUAAUCUUCUGCUCCCUGCCUCUGAAGACCUAGAACCUGUUACCCCUAAAAUAGAAUGGCACAAAAGAAGGGCUACAAGAACAUGCCAUGAUUGUGUUCACCAACAGUGAUUUUUAACUGCAGCAUUUAUCUGCAUUCACUGUUGGGUGUGCUUGUGCUGAAUGGUGAAAGGUGGGUAAGAGCCACCAGGCUGAGGUCUGCAGGGAUGAAUCAGCCUCUCAGCACAGUGCAUCAUCUGAAGCACACAGAGCAGCCUUUGGGCCACAUGGAGCUGUGAGCUGCCGUGUGGCCUGUACAACAUCAGCAUUGGUACCUUCCAGAGGAAGGGAAGGUGCAUCUCAGAAGGAAUCCCUGCAGUAAGAGUGAAAGGGUGACCACAGCAGGCGCAGGUGGAGCUGUUUUAGGAAGCUCACUGCCCAAACACAGGGAUGAUGUGGGCAGCUCCCAUCUGUCCUGCCUGACCUGCACCUGAGCUUCGCUUCAGCAAAGAGAAGGCUCCUUUGCUCCCCUGCAGUGCUGUGCGGCCUCCAGGGUAGGGUGGUGGGUACUAGAGAGCAGACAUGCCUGGCAGGGGACAGGGCUGCAGCAUCAUGAGACUGAUCUUAAUUCAUAAUGUCUUGUUUUUCAGAUGUUUAGCAGCUGUCCUUGAUUUUGUAGACAUGAGACGCAGCCAGGUGGUCUUAACCCUGCAAAAGUUCUGGGACAUUUGCACUUUCUUUCUUGCGAGGUUUUGCUUGCAGCUCCAGGUGCUGUAACUGUUCCCUCUUCAGGACUGAGUGCUUGGGGCUAAACGAGAUAAAACCAGAUAGUGACUGACAGGGACAGUUCUAUGGAAAUGUUUGCUCAAUGCCCAGGAGCAGUCCAAAAGGCAAACUGACUGUUAAGAAUUAUUAGGAAAAUAAGAGAGAACAGAUCAGAGAUAUGCCACUGAACAGAGCCAUAGUGGAGACUGCAUUGUGAUUACCAUAUGGAACUCUGGUUGGCUUCUCUCAAGAAAAAUAGAGUUGGAAGGGUUUCAGAGAAGAGCAACAAGGCAAAUCAAAUACAAAGAAUAUCUUCCAUAUGAGGAAAAGUAGAAAGCCUCUUUAGCCCAGAGAAGAGAUGGCUGAAGAAAAGUGUGACAGGAUUAUGAAAUCAAGUUUGGCAGACAGAGUUUGACUUCAGUGUGGUUUCUCAUUGUCCCUUUGAUAUAAGAACCAUCAGUGCCCCAUAAAUUAGGAGGUAGUGACUACAAAACAAAAAGCAGUUGUUUUUUUUUUAAUAUGCACUAUGCAGUGUCAAACUGCUUAACAGAGGAUACAGUGGGUCAUUGAGGUUUAUGUGCAUUCAAAAAGAAGUUAAAUAUCAUUGUGGGAGAAAAAGAAAUCCACCCACACUGGUUAAAUAGAAGACCCUAUUUUUGCUUCCGAGGCCUCUGAGCUUCAUAUCAUCAAGUAUUCUGGGUGGUACUGCUACUGCAGUAGCUAUGCCCCCUUCUCGCACUGCCCACAAUAAUAGCUCUUGACCACUAUCAGAGAUAAGAUGGUGGGCAAUACAUACUUGGAGCUAAUUGCGAACAGUUGUUCUUGCUUUUCUUCAGUGCUCCAGGAUCAUGUGCAACGACUGAUCCUGACACAUCCUGCCCUGUAUCCAAAAAGUCAGCAUUAAAGAGUUGCAGUGGUGUACUGCUGACCCCACGUCUGCACUGCCACAUCAGGAUUCAGGUCACCUGCAUUGAUAGUCCUCUUUCAAAUGAUACUCUCAGCAGUGGCAGAGCUGUCUGCGGUGAUAACAGCUUGUCUGGGGAACAUAAAGCAGGAGACACUGUGCUGGACUGCAGGCGCUUCCUGGAGGGAAGGCAGGGACCCAGAGGCACCAUGUUUUGUCACAGCCAAUGGGGUUGUGUGGCACACACUGCACUGAGCGAGGACCAUCAGAGCCAGCACACUCCUGAGUUCUGCCCGCUGGAGCAGCUCAGAGCAAGGCAGGAUGCUUAAGCAAGGGUGAGGAGGGCUGCAGUGGCUCUCCACAGCCAUUCCUGCUCCUGGGCUGGUGGCUUAAAUGGGCUGUUAUGUCAAGUUCUGCUCUGACAGCAGCAUUUGUCUGACACUAGCAACUAUAUGGUUUUUUGCAGCAGCAAAUGGGGGUCUGUCAGGAGCUGGUAUAAGAACCUACAACAAGCUGUGGAGAGCAAGAUAGAAUGCAAGGCAUUCCUAGUGGGCGCAAAACUGCUCAGUUGUUUCUGCAGCACACAGAAGCAGGCUCUGUCUGAUUUCUGUCACAUUUCCCAUCUUCACAUGGAAUUUGUCUGGGCAGCUGCUGUUCCCACAAGGGGAGUUCAAAUGAAUGACUGCUUUUCAUAUUACAUAAUGCAAUUCCAAAUACUCCAGUGCAGAUGUACUAUCCCUAUUCCAAGAAUAAAUUACCAAGUUGCUCUGUCUCAUUCUGGAGCAAUCCACCAGAGGCGAAACUGAAAACAAGAUUUUUUUGUAGUUGUACCGAAGCUUUGCAGUCAAUUUUAAGCCUCUUAGACAGCAUAAUAUUGAAUGCAAGAUCCUGCUGAGGGCUAUCGACUGCAGUAUGUGCCAAGCGGCGGGGAACACCCUGUGCCAUGCCUGCAUGUGUUGGAGACUUCCCUCUGCCAGCAGCGUGACUUAGAUCAGAGAGCAGCUUCCUGGGAUUUCCCAUCAGCAUCCUUUAAGAUUGCCAUCCAGCAGAAGGGAUCUGUGCAGCCACAAGGUGAAAGGCAACAGGAAACACAUCAUCUUCAAAACACAUGGCAGGAUUAGCACAGUCUGAACACAGCACCAUGCUGUCUUCUGCUCUGGUGUAGAGACAUGCUGCCUGCUGGGACCAUGGGGAUGGAGCAGGCUAGCCCUUCAGAUGUCACUGUCCCAGGUGAGGUGUGCUUGUAAAUAAACCCGGUGUAAAUGUAAGUGCACGUUCUUGUAGCUUCAUUCACAACAUGCCUUCUCACAUAGCACCUGCUCUGAUGCUGCCAUGGUGCUUCAGGACAUCUGCCUGGUAGAAUGGAAGGAUAUACCUUAACUAUUUGUAAUUAAAGAAAAGUAGUGGUGUUUUUGUACUCCAGGACCACAACAAGCCAUGAGUUAUUCACAGCCCCUGUGUGUUAGGGCAGCAGGCAGCAUUUGGUGCUGCAGCCAUGUUUUAGCAACAUGCCUGAUGUCCUGUGCAUGCCCUGCAAUGUCUGAAUAAAAAGCAUAAUUUCUGUCCCCAGCCUGACCUGUGCUUUUGUUCCAUCUCCUACCUGCUGUCUUCCACAACUGCUCCAUUGUGUCAGAGUUCUGGAAAACCUCCCAGUGUAUGAAUGGAUGUGCACACCAUAGGUCUUAAAGCAUCCAGAUGUCCAGAUGUAAAGCAACCCCUUCCAUUAGUACAGCUCUUUCUUACAGUUUAACCAGCUGCCAACACAAGGCAUACAAGUCUGAGAGCCCAAGCCGAUUUGCCCUGGCCGCAUGCAGAAGAGCUGAUCAGCUGGCAGUACAGUCAAGUGAGCUUUUGGUGUUGCUCCUUUUGUCAACUUGAGCAGUACCUCUGUUUCACCAUGCACUUCCUACUCUGCUGCACACCAUUUUCUGCAGGGGUCUUGCACUCACAAAUCCUCCAACUCCUUUGCAUGCAGUGAUUUCCUGACACAUUUUUCUAUCUUCUGCUGAAAUAAAGAAAAGGUCAAUACCGAGCUUCAAUGAACGUUCAUCCAGCAUUUUGUGUUCCUUCUUCUGCUAGAUCAUCCAGUUUAAUGCAGAGCCUGGUGAUCAGUCAAAUAUCAUAUCAGGAGCAUGAUUUUAACAAGGGAAGCUCUGCCCAGGCCUCUUGAACAUGGUAACCUCAGACUCAGCAAGUGGAAAGUAAGGGGAGUGUCUCUGCUCUAGCUUGGAAAUGCUCCCUUAUUUCCAGUUUGUUAGUGCAAUAUCAGAAUUAUAGACUACAACACUCCCUAUUUCUUUCUUUCACUCUGAUUUAAAGACCAUCUACUGAAAACUCUCACUUCAAAAAACAGCCAGGAACUUUCUAAUAUCAAGCAAAAUGCCCAAAGAAUAAAUUGCUUCUAUCAGAAAUAAAGCAUUUUAGUUCUGCCACAAGCAGGGAGGUCUCUCCAAAGGCAGCUCCACAGCUCCAUCUUUCCUGCUUUCCUCUCAUUUUCUUUUGAUGCACAAAGCCUGCAUACUGCAGUGCUGUGAUUGGAUUCAGCUUUGGAGCAGUGUAAUUGUAAAUAUUCAUUGGAAUCCAGGCUAGUUUUCCCAAGUCUCUCUUAAAGACUCUGCAGCUAUACAAACAGCCGUGGCUCUGCAUUAACCUCACAGCCUGGAGGCUGCCCAUUUCUCCACAGCACCAAAGACUGCUCCUUCAGAAACUACAUGGAGAGAAAUCAGCCUUGCAGACCAUUUUAGUUGGUGCUCCAUCAUUUCCUUUAUUCUCUCUAGCAUCUGUGUUGUGGAGCUGGCUCUCAGGUCCAGGUGCCUGUGGGGUUCCGCCUCAGUGUCUGCAUACAUUACACAUUUCAUCUUCCCAUGUCACUUGCAGUUCCCUGUUCUGGCUGUGCUUCUAGCCCCCAUAAAAGCUAUUGGCAGUGCUGGGGUGUCUGUGGGAGCUGCUGUGUGACCUGGUAUAUGAUAUGUGUGUGGUGAUUCCACCCUCCCACUGAGACCUAUGAUCCAAAUGGCUGCUGCCCCACAGACAGGUGUAAGGCUCUGUGAGUGAGCAACAUCUUAUUAAGAAAACUGCACCGCUUUUGGUUACUGAGACCUCAUAUGUCAACUGUUGAUAGUCAGGCAAUUCUGCUCCUCCAGCACCAUGACUGCGCUCAAACACUAGGCAGGCAAAGAGCAGUAGACUCCUACAGGCAUCAGGGAGCAGAGGUGAGACCUUUCCAUGGGUCUGACCAACACCUUCACAUUGCCUGGACCACCACUGUGCAACAGAACUAAGUGGCAUCAAGCUGAUCUUGUUUCUAGGUGGUCUUUGAUAGCUAUUGUGCAACUCAUUUGCAAAGCAGCACAUAUAGGAAACUGCAUACAGCUAAGAAUGGAAAUUAAAUCCACCAGUUCUGAUAGCAAAUCUACACUCCCAUCUCUGCCUCAUCUACUCGUAUGUUUACUACCAAGGGUGGAACUUCAAUGCUCAAGCCAAAGCCUGAGGCACAGCAGCACAUGUCAUACAGAUGUAUGUAUCAGAGCCUUUGUCACCCAUCAACAACCUCCAGGCUUUGCUUGCUCUCUUCAGUAUAUGAGAAGGCACAUGCUCUGACUACUGGGUAACCUAUGGCCAGAUAAGUAGGUAGUAAAAGGUGAAAAUCCAGCUUUCUUUCCACAUGCAAGUUCCUGAGAGCAACUCAAGGAACAAGGCACCCACCAGCUCCAGCUAAAGCACCACAGAUUGCUAGAUGUAUUGCUAAAGAGCAGUUCAGAGACUGUCAGCUGUGCAGUUCUGUUGAGCAGCACAAUUGCCUGAUCCUUGCCCAGUUCAGUUAAGGCCCUGGCACCAGGUCUCAAGCCCACUGCACUGUGGCCCCUGCUCACCCUAUGAAACAUAUCUCUACCCAAGACCAUCCCAGGUGUGGCCUGUUUUGGAACACAGGAAGGAGCACCAAGUCAUCAUCCCAGUAUACGUAGGUGAGUGCUAGGGCUCCUGGACGAGGGAUCGGGCAGCUCUGUCUGCCCUUCCAGAGAGCCAGGAGAGGACAGACUGUGCAUUAAGUCCUCCAACCCACAGCAUCAGUACAAAGAGAACCCCGUUCCCCGAGAAAAGAGCCAAAGGAACACCACUAGUGAGGAAGCAAGACUGAAUUUACCUGGGAAAACAGCAAUGAGUGUGCUCUUCAGCCAGUCUCCUGUGAACAAGCCUGCAGAAGCAUAAGAAUGAGGUUCCAAGAAAGAGGAAAGAAUACUCCCACAGAUCAACACUACUAUCCAGUGCAGGAACACAGGCAGUGCAUUUCAAGAUGGGACACCAUUUACAACACAAAGCAGGUACUGAGUCUCAUUGGAGGUUAGGUGAACCAUGGUAGGAAGCAAGCGUGCAGUCACUUUUCUAGAGAGAAGAAUCACCCUGGCAAGUGAUAUGUUGGUAACAUAUGAAUGCUAAAGGAGACCCUGUGGUGGGGCUUUGAAGAAGACAAAUGAGUUUCUGGGUACAAACAAAGCUGGGUUUAGGAAGUGAGCAAGGCUGGCAUGAAUCUCAAGAGGCUGAUGGCCUGUCUUCCAGUUCUAUGACGGGGGAACCUACAGGUGCCUUGUCUUCUGUUUAUCUGUCCUUGAAGAUCUCCUGUGAUGCAGAACACUCAGGCCCCUUGCAGUCUGUUCACCUGCUUUGUUCUCCUCUCCAUUAGACGCUGUUCCUAACCUGAAUCUUUCUUGAUGUAGGGUACACCCAUUAGUUCUUGUGCAUGCCUUCGUGGACAUGGAGAACAGAUGGCUUUGUUCUUCUUUCCAGGAGUUUCUUACAUGCAGCUGGUGUUGUGAUUUUCCUCAGCCACACUGGAAAGAAAAAAAACCCAACCAGAUUAGAAACAACAAAAGAAAACCUGUCUGGUGGAACUCACUGUCAGACAAUAAGACAGCAGCUAUGAGUGCCCUCUGAGAUAAAGUAAUGAGGCCUUUGUACAGAUAACAGCUCCCAGAGUCAAAACAGCUCUUUGCAAAGAGAAGUGCCUUGUCCUGAGCACGAGCCAAUCUCUAAAUCAGCCUUUGGAGCAAGCUGUUCUAAGCCACCUGCUGUAAAUUUCCUGCACCUUUCUCUACAGCUGCUGAUGUUGGCUCUGAUAAAGACACAUUAGCCUAGACAAAGACUGCAAC